rnacentral:rRNA from 1 species
CCAGACUCCUACGGGAGGCAGCAGUGAGGAAUAUUGGUCAAUGGUCGGGAGACUGAACCAGCCAAGCCGCGUGAGGGAUGAAGGUACAGAGUAUCGUAAACCUCUUUUGUCAGGGAACAAAGGCGGGGACGCGUCCCCGGAUGAGUGUACCUGAAGAAAAAGCAUCGGCUAACUCCGUGCCAGCAGCCGCGGUAAUACGGAGGAUGCGAGCGUUAUCCGGAUUUAUUGGGUUUAAAGGGUGCGCAGGCGGUCUGUGAGGGCCGGGGACGAGGCGGGGGCCCCCCCCCCGGCCCGCCGUUGAAACUGGCAGUCUCGAGUUGGAGAGAAGUAUGCGGAAUGCGCGGUGUAGCGGUGAAAUGCAUAGAUAUCGCGCAGAACUCCGAUUGCGAAGGCAGCAUGCCGGCUCCACACUGACGCUGAGGCACGAAAGCGUGGGUAUCGAACAGGAUUAGAUACCCCUGUAAGG